rnacentral:rRNA from 1 species
CAAUAGCGUAUAUUUAAGUUGUUGCAGUUAAAAAGCUCGUAGUUGGAUUUCGGAUGGGAUCUGCCGGUCCGCCUUUGAGAUGUGUACUGGUAGGUCCUAUCUUGUUGUCGGGGACCAGCUCCUGGGCUUCACUGUCCGGGACUGGGAGCCGACGAAGUUACUUUGAGUAAAUUAGAGUGUUCAAAGCAAGCCUACGCUCUGAAUAUAUUAGCAUGGAAUAACACGAUAGGACUCUGGCUUAUCUUGUUGGUCUGUGAGACCAGAGUAAUGAUUAAGAGGGACAGUCGGGGACAUUCGUAUUUCAUUGUCAGAGGUGAAAUUCUUGGAUUUAUGAAAGACGAACUUCUGCGAAAGCAUUUGUCAAGGAUGUUUNCAUUAA